UGUCAAAAAUUCUAGCCACGACUAUCCCUCGGCAAAGUCCUCGUUCUUCAGUUUCAUUUUUGAGGAUAGUCAUUUCAUUGAUAUAUGUCUCUAUGUCUACUGACCUCCCACUUAUGAUUUUGGUCAUUGUGUUCAUGUGUGACAUGGAUUCUAUCAUGAUUGAACUCGCUAAAUAUUUAUUGGUACGUGAUAUCUUGAAUUUAAGUAUAUAUGUUUUGAUGAUCAUCUAUUCAUUAAUUUCAUUUCAUAUGUGAAUAAUUAUGCAUAGACAUUCAAAUUCAAGGUUUUCGAUGAAAAUUGUAUAGCAAUGAAAUGAUUGUUUUUUUAUUUGUUUUGAUUUAUUGAAUCUACUUAUUUCUUUUAAUGGAUUUGUUUUGAAAUUAUAAAAGUUGUUUUAGAAUAAACUAGGAGAGCUCUUAGUUAGUAGAAUUUGCUAGCCUAUACUUAAUUGCUGAAAUAUGCUUUAGUCCAAUUUAAGUUUUACUUUUCUCAGUCCACUAAAAAGUGUUGUUUUUGUUGGAUAAUUAGUAGUUCACUUUGUUUAUUGCUUUUACUUUGUCUAGAUGGAGUUAGGUACCAUAUCAGAUGGUUCAUGGAAAGCUUUUCGGUAGAUGGAGAUUGCCUGCAGCCCAUGCUACUGAAUUCAACUUCUAUAAACACUGAUAUGUACUUUAUAGAAGGAAUGAAUUACAACCUGUUGGUCAUCUUUAUCUCUUUCCUUCAAGCUCUUCUAUUGCUUCAGCAAAUGAACCAUAUAUAGCAGCACACAAUUUGCAGUUGGUAGAGUAUCAAUUUUGGCAAUUGGGCCAUGGAUGCUUUACAUCUGGUAGUAGGAAUCGCAGCCGAUCCCUUAUUCAGUGCAUUUGCUACUGCUGCAUUUUUGAAGUUCAGGCCUCAUGUCUUGGUAUCCUGUGUUGUUGUGCUUGCAAUAUAAACUGAGGUAGUGUUUGUCUUGAUUUUAUACGGAUGAAGAAUUUGACCAAGAGUUUGUACACAUACUUCGUCGACAGAGCUGCAUAGUGUUUUCCAGAGGAAGUUCUGAUUUUAUACAGAUGAAGAAUUUGACCAAGAGUUUGUACACAUACUUUGUCGCAUAGUGUUUUUCAGAGGAAGUUCGAGAUAUCGAGGAGUUACUCUAAAAAAUUGCUAUAUGUUAUUAUCUUUCUAGUUCUUGUACGCUUUUAGUUAUUUGCAAAACUUGUAGGCUUUAAGUUAUUUGCAAGACCUGUAUGCAUUAAAUAAUUUUUGUAGCUCAUGAAUUUUGAUGGUGCUUGUGAUUUUAAGACUGAUUGAUUGUAAUAUAUAAAUUUGAUGGGAAAUGCAAUAUUUAAAAGGUUUUUUUAAA